CUAAGGUAGCGAAAUUCCUUGUCGGGUAAGUUCCGACCUGCACGAAUGGUGUAACCAUGGCCACGCUGUCUCCACCCGAGACUCAGUGAAAUUGAAAUCGCAGUGAAGAUGCUGUGUACCCGCACCUAGACGGAAAGACCCCGUGAACCUUUACUACAGCUUGGCACUGAACAUUGAACCUACAUGUGUAGGAUAGGUGGGAGGCUUCGAAGCACAGUCGCUAGAUUGUGUGGAGCCGUCCUUGAAAUACCACCCUUGUAUGUUUGAUGUUCUAACAUUGGUCCCUUAUCGGGAUUAUGGACAGUGUCUGGUGGGUAGUUUGACUGGGGCGGUCUCCUCCCAAAUAGUAACGGAGGAGCACGAAGGUUAGCUAAUCACGGUCGGACAUCGUGAGGUUAGUGCAAUGGCAUAAGCUAGCUUAACUGCGAGACAGACACGUCGAGCAGGUACGAAAGUAGGUCAUAGUGAUCCGGUGGUUCUGUAUGGAAGGGCCAUCGCUCAACGGAUAAAAGGUACUCCGGGGAUAACAGGCUGAUACCGCCCAAGAGUUCAUAUCGACGGCGGUGUUUGGCACCUCGAUGUCGGCUCAUCACAUCCUGGGGCUGAAGUCGGUCCCAAGGGUAUGGCUGUUCGCCAUUUAAAGUGGUACGCGAGCUGGGUUUAGAACGUCGUGAGACAGUUCGGUCCCUAUCUGGUGUGGGCGUUGGAUGAUUGAGGGGAGCUGCUCCUAGUACGAGAGGACCGGAGUGGACGAACCGCUGGUGUUCGGGUUGUUAUGCCAAUAGCAUUGCCCGGUAGCUACGUUCGGAAUCGAUAACCGCUGAAAGCAUCUAAGCGGGAAGCGAGCCCCAAGAUGAGUCAUCCCUGGCAGUUUAACUGUCCUAAAGGGUUGUUGAAGACUACGACGUUGAUAGGCAGGAUGUGGAAGCGUUGCAAGGCGUUAAGCUAACCUGUACUAAUUGCCCGUGAGGCUUAACCAU
rnacentral:rRNA from 1 species